UACGUAGGGGGCAAGCGUUGUCCGGAAUCAUUGGGCGUAAAGAGCGUGUAGGCGGCCCGAUAAGUCCGCUGUGAAAGUCCGGGGCUCAACCCCGGAUCGGCCGUGCCGACUGAGAGGCGUGGGAGCACUGUAGAGGCGAGUGGAAUUCCGGGUGUAGCGGUGGAAUGCGUAGAGAUCCGGAAGAACACCGGUGGCGAAGGCGGCUCGCUGGGCAGUGGCGUGACGCUGAGGCGGCGACAGCGUGGGGAGCAAACGAGG
rnacentral:rRNA from 1 species